rnacentral:lncRNA from 1 species
CUGAAAACCAGAGCUCGUCCGUGGCUUCACUUGUUUUGGACUAAGGAGCUGAGGAGCGUGCAAGACUGUACUUGGAGAAUCUGUUUCUUGCUGCCAUUUCGUCACUGAACACUAUUUUUUUUCUCCUUCUUUUUUUGUAAGAAAAGGAGAACACAUAAAACCCCACCAGAACAAACUCCACUCGGCCCUGAAAGUAUUUACAAUCACGGCCCUGAAAGUACUGAAAGUAUUUACAAUCACGUUACAGUUCAUUCACUGCUGCAGAACCUCUCUCCAGCGAUCAAGGUCGAAGGGAGCCGACGUCGCCCUCUAUCGGCUCCCUGCUGCACUAGAAGGAUCGGGAAGAUGGAGGCUCCUGAAGAGCUGUAGAAGCGCAUCCUAGGCAGAAGCCCAGCAGACAGCAAAGGGCCUGGUUUGUUCAAGGAACUGGAGGGCAAGAAAAUCAGGAGCCAAUUCAUGCAGGGCACAGUUAGCCAAGGCAGGAGGCAAUCAUGCUCACCCUCUUCCACAGCCGGACUCACUCAGGAGGCCCUUCAUCUUCAUGUUCCCCACAUAGCAGAGGGGAGGGCAGAAGAUGAGAGGGAGGAGAGAGCAGAGCCAAGAGCCUCCUUUUCUCCCACUGUGCCCCUCCUAUGUGUGGCUCUGGACACCAGGAACCACCCAAGGACAGUGGGACUCCUCGAAAAGAUAAUUGCUCAUGAGGGAUCCAAGAGCAAGGCUUGUUACAUCCUAUAACCUUCACACAAAAUAUUGACUGAGAAUCCUCCAUGUGCCAAGUACUGUUCAAAAACACUGGGAACCCAGCAGGGAUGAGCCACAAGUUUCCUUGUCUUUACGAAGCUUUCAUUCUGAGGGAGUGGAGAGAGACAAGCAAUAAACAACCAAUCAAAACAAAGAUGACUCCUCUGAGUGUUGUGAUAUGCGGGUCAAGGAGGAUGGCUCCCAGGAUGUGACCUCAGAGCAGAAGCCUGGAGGCUUGCCAGCAGCGGGAAGAGCAGCGGCAGGGCACUGCAGGCAGAGGUGACCAAAAGCGUGAAACCUUGAGCUGGGAAGCACGUGGUCUGCUGGAAAGUGGGCUGAUGUAUUUGAAGAGAGCAAGGAGCAGAAUGGUACAAUGGGGUGAUGGGGGAAGAGCCAGGCAGAGCCCAGUGCUGCAAAGCCCGGUAGCACAUACAUGUGUAACGUACCUUGAAGCAAAUGAAUGGCCUGAUCUGGUUUCUGUUUUGGCUGCUCUGUGGUGAUGUGGUGCCUGGGAGGCAAAGAAGCUGGGAAAGAAGCGGUUUUUCUCUUCUAGGUACUUUAAAGCUCUAUAAUAUAUGCUCAGGUGAAAUUUGGCUG